AGUUGCGAGUUGGCGUAGAGGGCCCAUUCAAGUAUGCAGCAGAGGAUCCUGCAGACUUGUGAAACUGAACAGAUUCAGACUUUUUUGCAUUUGGAUGUUGCUUCAUAGGAUUCUGACCAUUCUGCAAUCGGAAGAGGUUCUGAUGAUCAUCCAUCUCAUUAUGAAUCUGAGACUUUGGAUGUUUCCCUUCAUCUCCCCUAUUGUUCCCGGAUAGACUCAUGCCAAUGGAUAUUGCUUCAUAGGAUUCUGACCAUUCUGCAAUCGGAAGAGGUUCUGAUGAUCAUCCAUCUCAUUGUGAAUCUGAGACUUCGGAUGUUUCCCUUCGUCUCCCCUAUUGUUCCCCGAUAGACUCAUGCCAGACAAUGCAGCAGCCAAAUCAGCAUGCUCACCCAUAUGAGAUGAAAC
rnacentral:lncRNA from 1 species